rnacentral:lncRNA from 1 species
GGACCUCGCGAGUAACGAGAGCAUCAUGUUAUGUUUCUAAUAUAUACAUGUUAUGUUUCUAAUACAUACUGAGAGUCAUAGCUCUCAACAACACGAUUCUAGUGUCCCCCUAGCUAACGGUAGUUAUUCUUCGUUAUUGUUUUGGUGAUGGAUUGGAGAAUUGUAGUGGGCUAGAUGUCGGUGCUUAGAUUAUUUCUCGAUGACGCCAACCAACCUUAGCUCAACUGGUAGAGUGUUGGAUUGCUGCUGGGUGAUGCCUUAAAGCAAAUCCAUGGUCGACUGUUCGAGUCCGACAGGUCGGUUCACGUAUGGCCCAAACAGGAUGUAUGAAUACAAGAGGCCAAAUCUAUUACGCUUAUUUCACC